UACGGGGGGUGCGAGCGUUGUCCGGAAUCACUGGGCGUAAAGGGCGCGUAGGUGGUUUGAUAAGGGUGUGGUGAAAGCCCGGGGCUCAACCCCGGGUCUGCCGUGCCGACUGUCAAACUCGAGGGCUGUAGAGGCAGACGGAAUUCCGGGUGUAGCGGUGGAAUGCGUAGAGAUCCGGAGGAAGACCGGUGGCGAAGGCGGUCUGCUGGGCAGUUUCUGACACUGACGCUCAGGCACGAAAGCGUGGGGAGCAAACAGG
rnacentral:rRNA from 1 species